rnacentral:tRNA from 1 species
ACCAGGAUAGUUUAAUUUAAAACAUCGGCCUUGUAAGUCGAAAACCGAAGACUAAGAAUCUUCUCAAGGU